rnacentral:lncRNA from 1 species
CUGGGCUAUGCUGUGAGGGGGUGUUUGCCUCAGGUUUUUUCAUUCCACUUCAUUUCCGUCUUUCUAUUUUCUUUCAGUCAACCUUCUGCAGCUUUUUUCUCUCUAUAUCUCAUCCAUCCCACACGUACUUCAGUUUAUAUUUCAAUCCAGGAAUGCUUUACAUUUACAUUUGGGUCAUUUAGCAGAUGCUCUUUUCCAGAGCGACUUACAUCAGAGGUGUACCCUCCCUCUCACCUGAUCCCCCUGUCCACAGUGAUCUAUCAAGACCCUGUUGAUACUGUCCCUAAAACUGACCUGAGAACAGUGGGCGACAGACAGUGGUGUCCUCCUAAAGGGUCAAACGGCCCUCCGGGGACAGAUGGUGUGUCACAUCACCGGAGGACACUGAGACAGGCCAGUUUGUCGUUGUGCGCUCACUCGGCUAAUGCCAAAACAAAUGGGGCCUCUUUAGGGGUCAAAGACCCACAGGAGGCUGUUAAUAAGGGGAGAACGGAGAGAACACAUGGAAACCAUGUGUUGGAUGUAUUUGAUACCAUUCCACCUAUUCCGAGCCAGCCAUUACCACGAGCCCGUCCUCCCCAGUUAAGGUGCCACCAACCUCCUGUGCUCAGACCUCCC